rfam:Brachypodium distachyon strain Bd21 chromosome 1, whole genome shotgun sequence.
GUGAUACUCCCUCCGUCUCAUAUUAAAUGACUUUCUAUUACAUGUAUCUAGAUCUUUUUUAGACAUAGAUACAUUCAUAUUUGGACAAAUUUGAAUCACUUAAUAUGAAACGGAGGGAGUAUAAG